rnacentral:rRNA from 1 species
AGAGUUUGAUCCUGGCUCAGAUUGAACGCUGGCGGCAUGCCUAACACAUGCAAGUCGAACGGCAGCACAGUGGUAGCAAUACCAUGGGUGGCGAGUGGCGGACGGGUGAGUAAUGCAUCGGGACCUACCUGAACGUGGGGGAUAACGUAGGGAAACUUACGCUAAUACCGCAUACGUCCUACGGGAGAAAGCGGGGGACCUUCGGGCCUCGCGCGGUCAGACGGACCGAUGUUCGAUUAGCUAGUUGGUGAGGUAAUGGCUCACCAAGGCGACGAUCGAUAGCUGGUCUGAGAGGAUGAUCAGCCACACUGGAACUGAGACACGGUCCAGACUCCUACGGGAGGCAGCAGUGGGGAAUAUUGGACAAUGGGCGCAAGCCUGAUCCAGCAAUGCCGCGUGUGUGAAGAAGGCCUUCGGGUUGUAAAGCACUUUUAUCGGGAGCGAAAUACCAUUGGCUAAUAACCGGUGGGGCUGACGGUACCCGAGGAAUAAGCACCGGCUAACUUCGUGCCAGCAGCCGCGGUAAUACGAAGGGUGCAAGCGUUAAUCGGAAUUACUGGGCGUAAAGGGUGCGUAGGCGGUGAGUUAAGUCUGUCGUGAAAUCCCCGGGCUCAACCUGGGAAUGGCGAUGGAUACUGGCUCGCUAGAGU